GAGAAACUCAUUUCUCUUUUCUUCUUCUCUUUCCUUCUUAUUUCUUCUUCUUCUUCUCUGUUCUUUCUCUUCUCCUCUCUGACAAUCUUAAUUUCAAAGUUUUGAGCGUGAUUUUGUCUGGGUGGUUCAUCAGAAUCAUAGUAACCUGUUGAAUUGAGUGAGAAGGUGAUGAUACUGCUAUCGAUUGAUUUUUGGAAGAAGCAGAAAAGGGUGAAGUUGUAACUUCAAAUGGAAAUGUUAGUGAAGUUGAACUUAGUUAGAUGAACGAAGGUCGCUGGUUUUGAUUGUUUGGAAAUACAGGGGAACUAGUAUUGAUGUGAAUUGCAGGAGUUGGUUGUGAAAUGAAGAUUAAAGUUGAAUAUCAAGAAAGUGGUAGCUAGUUCAUAUAAUGGGUGUCCAAUGUAGUAAUGAGUGAUGAUGAAGGCUGCAGUUUGAAUGGUUGUACAAAGUUGGAGUUGAGGUUUAGAUGACUAGUUGUUGAAGCUGAUGUCUGCAAUUGAGAACAAGGUACUGAUUGUGCUAGUUAGAAUAAGGCAUAGGUGUUGCUGUUAAUGAUUGAAAUUGAAUGAGACUUGAGAUAUAAGUAUAGAACAGUUGGUGGAGGAGUUAAUCUGAGUUGUAAAUCGAGGGGCAGUGCUGUCUGCAAUGAAGUUGCAGAUCGAGGUUGUGUUAAAUUGCAACUGUGGUGAAUUUGCAAGUAAACUGAGCUUGUGUUUGUGGAUAAAUUAUGAAGUUCGUUCGGUCAGGAUGUAAUGUUUUAGUGAAUGCAAAGUAUAAUUAUGGCUGUUGGAGUUGAGAGAAUAGUUAAGGCUAAUGAGGAACUGAAAUGGGUUGUACUCCAAUGUUGUUGAGAUAGUAGUAUUGCUCUGACUGUAAUUAUGAUGAUGGCGUUACGAUUGUGUGAAUGUGUCAUGAUGAUUGUGAUAUUAUUAAGGUGUAAGAAUAGUCAGAGUUGGUUUGGAUUGUAUUUAUAUAUAUGGUGGUGUUGUGUAUAAGCUGAAGUUGGUUAAAGAGUUGUUAGGGCAGAGACCUUAGUGAAAGCCUGUAUUUGCAGAAUCGAUGUAGAUAUGGUGUUGUUGAGUUGAUUGUGUGUCUGUGAAGCUGUAGAAUAAGUUGGCAGUCUUGAUAAGUUUUUGUUCAAUUUGAACUUAAAUUGAUAUA